GAACGAUGAUGCCCAGCUUGCUGGGUGGAUUAGUGGCGAACGGGUGAGUAACACGUGAGUAACCUGCCCCUGACUCUGGGAUAAGCGUUGGAAACGACGUCUAAUACUGGAUAUGAUCACCGGCCGCAUGGUCUGGUGGUGGAAAGAUUUUUUGGUUGGGGAUGGACUCGCGGCCUAUCAGCUUGUUGGUGAGGUAAUGGCUCACCAAGGCGACGACGGGUAGCCGGCCUGAGAGGGUGACCGGCCACACUGGGACUGAGACACGGCCCAGACUCCUACGGGAGGCAGCAGUGGGGAAUAUUGCACAAUGGGCGAAAGCCUGAUGCAGCAACGCCGCGUGAGGGAUGACGGCCUUCGGGUUGUAAACCUCUUUUAGUAGGGAAGAAGCGAAAGUGACGGUACCUGCAGAAAAAGCACCGGCUAACUACGUGCCAGCAGCCGCGGUAAUACGUAGGGUGCAAGCGUUGUCCGGAAUUAUUGGGCGUAAAGAGCUCGUAGGCGGUUUGUCGCGUCUGCUGUGAAAUCCCGAGGCUCAACCUCGGGCUUGCAGUGGGUACGGGCAGACUAGAGUGCGGUAGGGGAGAUUGGAAUUCCUGGUGUAGCGGUGGAAUGCGCAGAUAUCAGGAGGAACACCGAUGGCGAAGGCAGAUCUCUGGGCCGUAACUGACGCUGAGGAGCGAAAGCAUGGGGAGCGAACAGGAUUAGAUACCCUGGUAGUCCAUGCCGUAAACGUUGGGCGCUAGAUGUAGGGACCUUUCCACGGUUUCUGUGUCGUAGCUAACGCAUUAAGCGCCCCGCCUGGGGAGUACGGCCGCAAGGCUAAAACUCAAAGGAAUUGACGGGGGCCCGCACAAGCGGCGGAGCAUGCGGAUUAAUUCGAUGCAACGCGAAGAACCUUACCAAGGCUUGACAUACACCGGAAACGGCCAGAGAUGGUCGCCCCCUUGUGGUCGGUGUACAGGUGGUGCAUGGUUGUCGUCAGCUCGUGUCGUGAGAUGUUGGGUUAAGUCCCGCAACGAGCGCAACCCUCGUUCUAUGUUGCCAGCGGGUUAUGCCGGGGACUCAUAGGAGACUGCCGGGGUCAACUCGGAGGAAGGUGGGGAUGACGUCAAAUCAUCAUGCCCCUUAUGUCUUGGGCUUCACGCAUGCUACAAUGGCCGGUACAAAGGGCUGCGAUACCGUAAGGUGGAGCGAAUCCCAAAAAGCCGGUCUCAGUUCGGAUUGAGGUCUGCAACUCGACCUCAUGAAGUCGGAGUCGCUAGUAAUCGCAGAUCAGCAACGCUGCGGUGAAUACGUUCCCGGGCCUUGUACACACCGCCCGUCAAGUCAUGAAAGUCGGUAACACCCGAAGCCGGUGGCCUAA
rnacentral:rRNA from 1 species